rnacentral:rRNA from 1 species
AGUGAACGCUGGCGGUAGGCCUAACACAUGCAAGUCGAACGGCAGCACAGGAGAGCUUGCUCUCUGGGUGGCGAGUGGCGGACGGGUGAGGAAUACAUCGGAAUCUACUCUGUCGUGGGGGAUAACGUAGGGAAACUUACGCUAAUACCGCAUACGACCUACGGGUGAAAGCAGGGGAUCUUCGGACCUUGCGCGAUUGAAUGAGCCGAUGUCGGAUUGGCUAGUUGGCGGGGUAAAGGCCCACCAAGGCGACGAUCCGUAGCUGGUCUGAGAGGAUGAUCAGCCAAACUGGAGCUGAGACACGGUCCAGACUCCUACGGGAGGCAGCAGUGGGGAAUAUUGGACAAUGGGCGCAAGCCUGAUCCAGCCAUACCGCGUGGGUGAAGAAGGCCUUCGGGUUGUAAAGCCCUUUUGUUGGGAAAGAAAUCCAGCUGGCUAAUACCCGGUUGGGAUGACGGUACCCAAAGAAUAAGCACCGGCUAACUUCGUGCCAGCCGCCGCCGUAA